AGCGAACGCUGGCGGCAGGCUUAACACAUGCAAGUCGAGCGGGCACUUCGGUGUCAGCGGCAGACGGGUGAGUAACACGUGGGAACGUACCCUUUGGUUCGGAAUAACGCUGGGAAACUAGCGCUAAUACCGGAUACGCCCUUUUGGGGAAAGGCUUGCUGCCGAAGGAUCGGCCCGCGUCUGAUUAGCUAGUUGGUGGGGUAAUGGCCUACCAAGGCGACGAUCAGUAGCUGGUCUGAGAGGAUGAUCAGCCACACUGGGACUGAGACACGGCCCAGACUCCUACGGGAGGCAGCAGUGGGGAAUAGUGGACAAUGGGCGCAAGCCUGAUCCAGCCAGGACGCGUGAGUGAUGAAGGCCUUAGGGUUGUAAAGCUCUUUUGUCCGGGACGAUAAUGACGGUACCGGAAGAAUAAGCCCCGGCUAACUUCGUG
rnacentral:rRNA from 1 species